rnacentral:rRNA from 1 species
UACGUAGGGUGCGAGCGUUAAUCGGAAUUACUGGGCGUAAAGCGUGCGCAGGCGGCGCGUUAAGACAGGUGUGAAAUCCCCGGGCUUAACCUGGGAACUGCAUUUGUGACUGCAUGGCUAGAGUACGGUAGAGGGGGAUGGAAUUCCGCGUGUAGCAGUGAAAUGCGUAGAUAUGCGGAGGAACGCCGAUGGCGAAGGCAGUCUCCUGGACCUGUACUGACGCUGAGACGCGAAAGCGUGGGGAGCAAACAGG